GGCACCCUGCUGGGUUCGUGAAUGCGCUAUAAAAUACCUACAAAGUUCAUACGGGAAUGAUGCUCCGUCGGUGGGAUGCAGACCUCCCGCUUUCAUGCGGAUGCAGGGAGCGCGAAACCGAUGGGCGAAUGCCCACCUGCAAUUAUGCAGGGUUAUUUUUAGCGCACACGGCUUUGGCGGGGGUAAC
rnacentral:other from 1 species